GAUCGCGCUUUUAGCGGAGAGUUCGUCCAAUGGACUGAGACCGGGCCCAUACUUUACGAGGGCAGCAGUAGGAAUUUUGCACAUGGACGAAGUCUGAUGCAGCGACAUCGCGUGUGGGAUGACGCCCUAGGGUUGUAAACCACUUUUUGGAAGCCAUGAAGGCGUCCAGAAUAAGGAACUACUAACUACGUGCCAGCAGUCGCGGUAAGACGUAGGUUUCGAGCGUUACCCGGUUUUAUUGGGCGUAAAGCGUCUGUAGGUGGUUUUCUAAGUCCUGUUUCAAAGACCCUGACUUAAUCAGGGACAGGGGCAGGAUACUGGGAGACUAGAGUUAUAUCGGAGUUACUGGAAUUUGUAGUGUAGGGGUAGAAUCCGUGGAUACUACAAAGAACACCAAGCGCGAAGGCGGGUAACUAGGUAUAUACUGACACUCAGAGACGAAAGCUAGGGUAGCCAAUCAGAUUAGAGACCUGAGUAGUCCUAGCCGUAAACAUUGUCUGUUAAUUUUCCGGAAUUUAUUCCGGGAGAUGUUAGCUAACGCGUUAAACAGACCGCCUGGGGAGUAUAGCCGCAAGGCCGAAACUCAAACGAAUUGGCGGGGAGGCGCACAACCAGUGGAGCAUGUGGUUCAAUUCGAUACGAAGCGAUAAACCUUACCUGGGUUUGAAAUGUACCUGCAUGGUCUAAGAAACUAGACCGGUCCUUCGAGGGUGGUACACAGCUGUUGCAUGGCUGUCGUCAGCUCGUGACGUGAGUUGUUCUCUUAAGUGAGGUAACGAGCGCAACCCCUAUCGUAUGUUACUGUGUCAUACGAGACUGCCCAGCAUUAUUUUGUUGGGAGGAAGGGGGGGACGAUGUCAAGUCAUCAUGAUGCUUAUAUCCAGGGCUACACACAUCCUACAAUGGGUUGUACAGUGGGUUGCAUACCGCAUGUGGAGCUAAUCCUCAAAACAUCCCCUCGUUGGGACUGCAGCUGAAAUUCGCCUGCCGAACUUGGAAUUGGUAGUAUCGCCGAUCAGCAGACUGCGGUGAUACGUUCUCGCCUCUGCACAACUGCCGUCAAAUCAGCAACGUUGAGGUACCCGAUGGCCUGGUUCGUCAGGGACUAUGUUACUCAGCAUGAGGUAGUCGUAACAGUACCAAGGGCAUCCGGCGUUAACUCAUCGCCUAUGGAUUGUAUUCUCAUGAACCGUGCAUUACACGUGCGUGAUCA
rnacentral:rRNA from 1 species